rnacentral:rRNA from 1 species
GACGUAGGGCGCAAGCGUUAAUCGGAAUUACUGGGCGUAAAGCGUGCGCAGGCGGUUUUGUAAGUCUGACGUGAAAGCCCCGGGCUUAACCUGGGAAUUGCGUUGGAGACUGCAAGGCUUGAAUCUGGCAGAGGGGGGUAGAAUUCCACGUGUAGCAGUGAAAUGCGUAGAGAUGUGGAGGAACACCGAUGGCGAAGGCAGCCCCCUGGGUCAAGAUUGACGCUCAUGCACGAAAGCGUGGGGAGCAAACAGG